UGCAAGUCGAACGAGAAGUUUUAAUUUAUUAAAACGAGAAAGUGGCGCACGGGUGAGUAACACGUAGGCAACCUGCCCUUGAGAGUGGAAUAACCAUGGGAAACUAUGGCUAAUACCGCAUAUUGUUUACGCAACGCAUGUUGUGUAAAUGAAAACUCCGGUGCUCAAGGAUGGGCCUGCGGCAGAUUAGCUAGUUGGUAGGGUAACGGCCUACCAAGGCUGCGAUCUGUAGCUGGUCUGAGAGGAUGAUCAGCCACACUGGCACUGAGACACGGGCCAGACUCCUACGGGAGGCAGCAGUGAGGAAUAUUGCGCAAUGGGCGAAAGCCUGACGCAGCCACGCCGCGUGGAGGAAGACACCCCUAUGGGGCGUAAACUCCUUUUAUGUGAGAAGAAUGCCCUGGUCGCCAGGGAGAGACGGUAUCACAUGAAUAAGCACCGGCUAACUCCGUGCCAGCGGCCGCGGUAAUACGGAGGGUGCAAGCGUUGUCCGGAUUCACUGGGUGUAAAGGGUGUGUAGGCGGAGCAGAUAGUCAGUGGUGACAGCCUGUGGCUUAACCAUAGAAUUGCCAUUGAUACUGCUGCUCUUGAGUACUGGAGAAGCUACUAGAAUUCGUGGUGUAGCGGUGAAAUGCGUAGAUAUCACGAGGAAUACCAGAGGCGUAAGCGGGUAGCUAGACAGAUACUGACGCUGAGGCACGAAAGCGUGGGGAGCAAACAGGAUUAGAUACCCUGGUAGUCCACGCCGUAAACGAUGGAUGCUCGAUGCAGUGGCGUAUGCGACUGUGUCCAAGCUAACGCGUUAAGCAUCCCACCUGGGGAGUACGCUCGCAAGAGUGAAACUCAAAGGAAUUGGCGGGGGCCCGCACAAGCGGUGGAGCACGUGGCUUAAUUCGAUGCAACGCGAAGAGCCUUACCUGGGCUCAAACACUACCGGACAGCCUCCGAAAGAGUCUCCUUCG
rnacentral:rRNA from 1 species